rnacentral:RNase_P_RNA from 1 species
AGUCGGAUAAUCGCGCUUUUUAAAGUGAGGAAAGUCCGUGCAUUCAAGAACAGAGCUCCGGAGAAACUCCGGACGGCGUGAGCCGGUGGAUAGUGCCACAGAAAUGUAGACUGCCAAUGGUUCUGCGAAGCGGGUGCGAAGCAGAACACAGGCGAUGGUGCAACGGUGAGUUAAGUGCUUCACCAGCGAUGCUGAGAAGUGUCGGCUAGGUAAACCCAGCUCGAAUGCAAGAUUAAAUCGAAGGCUAUGGUCGUUCGCCUACUUCGAAAAUAUCGCUAGUGGUUACAAGUAAUUGUAAUCCCAGACAGAUGAUUAUCUAGAAACAGAACACGGCUUAUGAGCUAC